rnacentral:rRNA from 1 species
GAUUAACGCUGGCGGCGUGCAUAACACAUGCAAGUCGAACGAUGAAACUUUAAUGAACCCUUCGGGGAGAAUUAAAGCGGAUUAGUGGCGAACGGGUGAGUAACGCGUGAGUAACCUGCCUUACACAAGGGGAUAGCCUUUGGAAACGAAGAAUAAUACCCUAUAAAACCAUAAAAGCACAUGCAAUUAUGGUCAAAGUGAUAGCGGUGUAAGAUGGACUUGCGUCUGAUUAGCUAGUUGGUGAGAUAAAAGCCCACCAAGGCAACGAUCAGUAGCCGGCUUGAGAGAGUGGGCGGCCACAUUGGGACUGAGCCACGGCCCGGACUCCAACGGGAGGCAGCAGUGGGGAAUUUUGCAGAAUGGGGGAAACCCUGAUGCAGCGUCGCCGCGUGAUUAAGAAGGCCUUCGGGUUGUAAAAAUCUUUUGUAUAGGAAGAAAAUGACAGUACUAUACGAAUAAGGUCCGGCUAAUUACGUG